rnacentral:rRNA from 1 species
AUUGAACGCUGGCGGCAGGCCUAACACAUGCAAGUCGAACGAGUGGCGGACGGGUGAGUAAUGUCUGGGAAACUGCCCGAUGGAGGGGGAUAAAUACUGGAAACGGUAGCUAAUACCGCAUACCAUCGGAUGUGCCCCGAGGGGAUUAGCUAGUCGGUGGGGUAACGGCUCACCUAGGCGACGAUCCCUAGCUGGUCUGAGAGGAUGACCAGCCAGACUGGAACUGAGACACGGUCCAGACGCCUACGUGAGGCAGCAGUGGGGAAUAUUGCACAAGGGGCGCAAGCCUGAUUCAUCCAUGCCGCGUGUAUGAAGAAGGCCUGCGGUUUGUAAAGUACUUUCAGCGAGGAGGCGUUACUCGCAGAAGAAGCACCGGCUAACUCCGUGCCAGCAGCCGCGGUAAUUC